ACAGCAACGCCAGAUGCUGGCCAUGUCUGUGACCUACACCAUAGCUCAGGGCAAUACCAGCUCCUUAACCCACUGCGUGAGGCCAGGGAUGCUAGUCAGAUUUGUUUCUGCCGAGCCAUGAUGGGAACUCCCAAGAAGGCUAUCUUUUAUUUCUUCAGGUAUGGAAUUGGCCUAGAAAAAAAGAACGAAACUGGAAGGGGUGUAAAUGUUAGAAUAUUCCUUUUAAUAUAAGAAAUGAUAAUUAAAUGUGGGGAUUAAAACUUUGAGCUCUAAUCUGGAAUUUGCUGAGACCCUGAAAGGUCAUCUAAUCAAUUCUUCUGCUCUCAGGAAAGAUUACCUCCCAGAUCUAUCAAGGUCUAUAGUUGUAUGUUUUGUUUAUGAAGCUCGUGAAGGUGUGACACUUCAGAGAGGCAAAGACAGGGUUCGGGGCUCUGGAAGGUUCAAAUAACAUUUCCUGAGGUUUAGAGUUUAGGCAAAAGCUGCUUGGUCAUUGUUCUCAUUCUGACCUCUACUGGUUAUUCCUUCGAUUGGAUGUCUUAACAGCUAACUGAGGCCCUCUUUUCCUUUUGCUUUUCCUAGGGACUUAUCCUGCAAUAAGAUACAGUCUAUUGAGAGACGUACAUUUGAAUCACUACCCUUUUUGCAAUAUGUAACUUCAUUAUAUUGGAGUUUUUGUAAAAGUUAUUUGUUUAAUGAAAUGAAUGUGUUACUCAUUUUGAAACAUUAAAAGUUUAACUGCAAAAAUUAGGAAGGAAAUCUUUUUUGUCUCUAGCAAAGAUUCACGUGAGAAUGAUUAUGCAUAUGGGAGUGAAUCAUGAUAGAGCAGCGGUUCUCCCCCAGGAACCAGGGUGAUGUUGCACGCCGGUGACCUCUGGCCAUGUCUGGAGCUGUGUUUGGUUGUCAGAACUGUAGAUACGCUCCUGGCAUCCAGUGGACAGAGGCCAGGGGUGCCGCUAAACAUCCUGCAGUAUACGGGAGAGCCCCCAACGAAGAAUCAUCCGGCCCCGAAUGUCAAGAGCGCUGCCCUUUUCUGGAGAAAUAAGAAUCACUUGACACACAUGUUUAUUGAACAUUUGCUGGUUGGUAUCUAAGGCACCGCAUAUAGAAUCCUAAGCAAAUGCCUUCCACAGUGAGGUUUCUCUAAAGUGUGGAGGGGGUGUUGAGGUUAUGUGUCAUCAUAUAUAGAUUAGAAUUACUGGCAAUGGUUAAAUGUUCUGAAAGAAUAAAUGUUUUGCUUCUUGUGCUUGUGUCUUGUAGAAAUCUUGGUUGCAAUUUAAUCACAGAAGUGAGCUUUGGAACGUUUCAGGCCUGGCAUGGAAUGCAGUUUUUACACAAGUUGUAAGUGAAAUAGAAGAUGAAUACAUGUAAAAAACACUAUGCAUUAAAACCUAAGACAGGUGUUCCUGCUGUGGAGCAGUGGGAUCGGCGGCAUCGGAGGAGCAUUGGGAUGUAGGUUUGAGCCCAGCCCAGCACAGUGGGUUAAGGAUCCUUCCUUACUGCCGCUGCUGCCUAAGUCACAACUGCGGCUCAUAUCUGAUCUCUGGCCUGGGAACUCCAUAUGCCCUG
ensembl:lncRNA